UACAGAGGGUGCAAGCGUUGUUCGGAAUUACUGGGCGUAGAGGGCUCGUAGGCGGCCAACUAAGUCAGACGUGAAAUCCCUCGGCUUAACCGGGGAACUGCAUCUGAUACUGGAUGGCUUGAGUUCGGGAGAGGGAUGCGGAAUUCCAGGUGUAGCGGUGAAAUGCGUAGAUAUCUGGAGGAACACCGGUGGCGAAGGCGGCAUCCUGGACCGACACUGACGCUGAGGAGCGAAAGCCAGGGGAGCAAACGGG
rnacentral:rRNA from 1 species